rnacentral:lncRNA from 1 species
ACCCAGGGGGACGGGGAUCCUUCCUUCAACCCUAAAAUCUGCAAGAACAGGUUCCACUGAGAACCAGGCAGCAGGGGCCAGGGGGACCCAGAGUGGCCAUGGCCCUGGGGACUGGAGAGUCGGAGGUCACCCUGCUGUCCGUCAAAGUCAGGAGGGGACCUGGGAGGGGCUCUCUGGAGACUUCCCGGGGACCCCAAUAAAACUGGAGGGCAGGAGGGGCACGCUGUCCCUGUCCUCUGUGAGAGGACCCCUCUGUCCCUUGAGAGUGUCCCCUUCCCCUUCCCCACCCCUUCAAUUUAUUGUGUGCCUGUGGCUCUGAGCGACCCAUCCGGCAUCUUUCUGACUCGAUGGCGAGAACUAGGGUUUGAAGGGGGGGUCUUCCUGCUGCCUCAUUUCCCAGGAGACCCCAACUCUGUAACAGCAGGAGAUGACCAGACACCUUCAGAUUCUAGUUUUAUUGUGAGUAAAGCUUGUUGUCUGCAGUUGGAUGCAUGCACCAACCUCUGGGCAUUUGGGUCCUCGAAGACAAGUGAGCCCCGGUGGCUCUUCCUUUAUUUGAUUUUAUUUCCAUUUUUUGGUGGCCCUGGGAUGGAACCCGGGCCUCGUGCCCGCUAGGCUGGCCGUCUCACAUGGACCUUCUUCCCCUGGUUUAUAAACCCCGACUGUUUGCUUUUUUGUAUUCCAUGCCUGGCUCUCAAGCCACCACCUUCAUAUUUGCCUCUGAUACCAGAGACGGAGACGGCAGGCUGAGUUUUCACUGUAAGGGCCAUGGUGGAGUUAGGGACAGGUCUGUUUGGGACCACUCUGGGGACGCAGGGGACUCAGGUGUCCUUCCUGGAGAGCAGGCCAGACAGGCUGCUGUAGCUUCUGUCUCGUGGGUCUUCACUCAGGGACACUCAACCCCUGAGCCCCAUCCCCAGCCCUAUUUUGCAUUUUACUUAGAGACAGGGCUUCCCUGAGUUGCUUAGCACCUCGCUUCUGCUGAGGCUGGCUUUGACCUCGCAAUCCUCCUACCUCAGCCUCCCGAGCCACUGGGAUGACAGGUGUGCACCGCUGCACCUGGUUCACAAUAGUAUUUUUAAAGAUAAUAUUGUUACCUAAUUAGAGUAGCAAAUUCCUGUGGUUCCUUUUUUUUUGAAUUUACAGCAUCGAGUCAAAACAUCACAAACAUAACGUUCACGUACAUUAAACUUUUUUCUCUCUUCAACUUGAUUUAGGUAUGGCAAAGCAGAAAAACUCUGCCCAUUUUAAAGUUGAUUAGUUUUUUUUUCCACUGAAACUCUGGAAUU